GUUGUUGUGAUGAAUUGUUUUGUUUACCGCCCCAGUCUGAUGGCUGUGACUGAAUGGUAAAAAUUCUGAUACGAC